rnacentral:rRNA from 1 species
UACGUAGGGUCCGAGCGUUGUCCGGAAUCAUUGGGCGUAAAGCGCGCGUAGGUGGCCAUUUAAGUCCGCUGUGAAAGUCAAAGGCUCAACCUUUGAAAGCCGGUGGAUACUGGAUGGCUAGAGUACGGAAGAGGCGAGUGGAAUCCUGGUGUAGCGGUGGAAUGCGCAGAUAGUCAGGAGGAACACCAAUAGCGAAGGCAGCUCGCUGGGACGUUAACUGACACUGGAGGCGCGAAAGCGUGGGGAGCGAACAGGGA